AUUGAACGCUGGCGGCAGGCCUAACACAUGCAAGUCGAGCGGAUGACGGGAGCUUGCUCCUUGAUUCAGCGGCGGACGGGUGAUUAAUGCCUAGGAAUCUGCCCGAUAGUGGGGGACAACGUUUCGAAAGGAACGCUAAUACCGCAUACGUCCUACGGGAGAAAGUGGGGGCUCUUCGGACCUCACGCUAUCGGAUGAGCCUAGGUCGGAUUAGCUAGUUGGUGGGGUAAAGGCUCACCAAGGCGACGAUCCGUAACUGGUCUGAGAGGAUGCUCAGUCACACUGGAACUGAGACACGGUCCAGACUCCUACGGGAGGCAGCAGUGGGGAAUAUUGGACAAUGGGCGAAAGCCUGAUCCAGCCAUGCCGCGUGUGUGAAGAAGGUCUUCGGAUUGUAAAGCACUUUAAGUCGGGAGGAAGGGCUGUAGGUUAAUACCUUGCAGCCUUGACGUUACCGACAGAAUAAGCACCGGCUAACUUCGUGCCAGCAGCCGCGGUAACAC
rnacentral:rRNA from 1 species